GCAAGUGUCACAUCCUGCCUUUUUUUUUACUCAAAACUCCUGUCCUGCCUAUUUUUUUCAAAUUUCAUCCUAGCCCCCCCCCCCCCCCCCCCCUAAAAAAAAAUCUAUUUUACAAUACACACAAGGCAAUUCAGUCAUAACAAUCACUCAUGGUAUAGAGUAAAAACAUUACAAAUGUCUCUUGGAAGUUUAGUAUGCAACAUUUUUUCUUUUUCUCAGAAAAAAAUCAAAUUUGACUUCAGCCAAUAACAAACUAUUUUUUGUUCAUUUACAUACUGGAAUAUUGUUUAUGACAGAUUUAAUGUUAACGCACAUCAUUUACCAAAGUUGAAUAAAUCAAUUGUUCAUGUUAAAUUUUUUUUUGGUAAAUGAUACAGAAUUUUUUUAGCUUGUCCCUAACUGUUAUCCGGUAUUACUAAUAUAACAUUUCUUAAAUAAAAAAUAAUUAACAAGAUCAAAAUAUUUUUUCUCGAUUAUCUCCCCUGGCAUUAACAAAAAUGGUAAUGACAGUUAACAUAUAUAUUAUGCUUAGUAUAUUUGUUUCCAUGCAAAGUCAAACCUUCAUAUAAAGGUUACCAUUGGAACCAGAGACCCUCCUUAAAAGUGACCUUUGAAUUGAGGUUCAAAAUGAUGGAUUACCACAGCAGGAAAUGAAGAGGGUUAUCUCCUUUCACAAAGGUGACCUUUAUAGUAGGUUCAACAGUAGAUCUUAACAAUAAUGAAAUGUUUAAAUAACGCUUUGAAAAGCAAAGACAAUUAUAAAAAAAGCAUAAAAUUUGUACAGCAUAAGAUCUGCAAAAAUAAAUUAUAGCAAAUAAUACUAAAUUGUAAAUUUUAAGUAAAUAGAAACCUAUUAUAAUAAAUAUAUUUCAGGGCAAUUAACAUGCUUCUGAAUAAGCAAAUUUUGCCAGUACACAAAUGUAAAAGUAGACUAGACUACUUGUUCAUGUUGUUAUGUGUAUUGGUAUUGUGUAGUUAUAGUACUGUAACAUGAAAUGAUAUAACCUGAGACUACUAUGAUAUAACUUAAAUGUUUUAAAAAUGAUAAUUUUUUAAUUUUCAAACUCCUGUUUUAAAAUCGUCAUUAUUGUUUCUUCUAUUCAAAAUUGGUGUACAAUCAAACUACAUUUGUAAUAUUUCUGCAACAAGCAAAGCUUAAGAUCUUGAAAGUUUCAGAUAGCAUUUUUGCCAGUAUGCUAGCAUUUAUUUCAAGCCCUAUAAAUACGAGACCUGUAUACAAACCACUUUUUCGCUAGUGAUUUAUUUUUAUGAUUAACAGAACUGAGUAUAAAACAACGUGAAGAUAAAUCAUCAUGAUUAUGAUAAAUGAUCA
rnacentral:lncRNA from 1 species